GGGCGUAGAAACGGAUCGGAUCGCCUGCUCCCGCAAGAAGCCAAGAAGGCAAUACCGCCGCCAUCGCCGUCGCCGCUGCCGGCCACCGUCGCCGUUGCACCUCCCCUCCUCCGACGUCCACAGAUCGAGAUGCCAAGAUCUGUGGGGGAGGUGAUGUAGGCACGGCGGGAUCGCCGGAUCUAUGGCCGCUGGCUUCGCCUUCUUCCAGGCUGCCAACGCGGCGGUUCGUGCCUCGGGUGGUGGCUCCGGCAGGCGGCGGCGGCGGGGAACGGGAGGAUCGAUUGCGUUCCAGUCAUCCAGAUUUCUGCGUUGCAAAUAUCUUCAGUGAAGUAUCAUUCAGAAUCAGCUUUAUCCCUUGCUAUCGAUGGGUCUUGCAAUGGUGGAAUCUCAGGAGGCGCUGAUGAUAAAGUAGUCAUUUUCACGCUGGAUUAUCCAAAGGACUCUCGUGGCAAUGGGCUGGAAAGUACAGUGAUCCUAGCAGGCUGUGCCGAUGCUGUUUGUUGCUGGGGACUCGUUGCAGCCAGCAUCAUGUGGAUGGAUUCCAGUAUUUAUUAAUAGAUUAGUUGCUUCAGAUCUAAUGUGGAAAAAGCCGGAGUGGCAUGUUGCCUUUGGUUUUGUUUCAAAAAGAAUGAUGCCUUUGGUUUCUAAAUCAGAAGUGGUUGUCCAUACAGCCUACCUGAACUCAGAAGCCUGUGAUCUUCACUGCUUCAGCUCUCACAAGUUAGAAUUCAGAAGUGGUUGUUUGAGCAGGAGCUAAAUCAACAGCAGGAGCUGAAGCGAUGGAGCUGAUGACUAUUAUGUAAAAUUUAUGCUUCUAUUCUUGACUGGUGUAUGAUAUAUGCGUCUUUAUUUUAUCUUCCAAGGAAACAGACCUGGAAAGGACCAUGCAUGGUUGAGAGAUCGUGCCUUUCUAUCGUGCGCAUGUAAAUUUUUUUCUUCUUUCUAUAACACUACUGCAAUCAACUCUUUGGCUUCC